CCAGGAGUCCAGGUGGACACGGACAAUUUUUCCACAAUUAAUUUUUUUGAUUUAUUUUUUUACUGAGGAACUGCUAUCUAGCAUUGUGGUUCAGUGCAACUUAUAUGCCCAACAAUUUAUUGCCAAGAAUCCAUCAUCUUCUUAUGCCCGUCCCUUCCAGUGGAGAGAUCUAACAGUGGAGGAGUUUAGGAUUUUUUUAUGCCUCACAUUUUGCAUGGGACUCAACCCAAAAAAUGAAAAGCAUUCCUUUUGGUCAAAACGCCCCAUUUACCAUAUGCCAAUCUUCUCUGCAACAAUGCCCAGAACCAGAUACUUCAUGAUCAUAAGGUUCCUCCACUUCAAUGAUAACACCCAGUGCCUUCCCCGAAAUCACCCAAAUUUUGACAGGCUUUUCAAAAUUCGCCCCUUAUUAAAUUAUUUUUCGGAAUUAUUCCCCCAGUUAUAUAGCCCGGAACAACACAUAUGUGUAGAUGAGUCCCUUGUUAAAUUUUGUGGCCGACUGAAAAUAGAGCAGUUUAUCCCCAGCCCGCUAUGGGGUGAAGGUUUACAAACUAUGUGAACGAGCCACAGGGUACCUGUAUUCCUUCUUGGUCUACGAAGGGAAGGACACCCAGCUGCAUCCCCCCCAUUUGCCCAGACUACUUGGGAUCAAGUGGAAAAGUUGUUUGGCAACUUAUCAACCCCCUACUGGAUAAAGGCUACCACUUGUACGUCGAUAACUUUUAUACCUCUCUUCCCCUGUUCCACAACCUUCAUCGGAAGCAGACCCCAGCAUGUGGCACGGUAAGAAAGAACAGGAAAGGCUUUCCUCAAAGCCUUGUGAAUAAAAAGCUGAGGAAAGGGGAAUCGGCAAGUCUGAGCAACAAGGAGGUUCUGGCAGUGAAGUGGAAGGACAGAAGACAUGUAUAUAAGUUGUCUUCCAUCCACAACAAUUCCUUUGUGGAAACCCGCAGAAGGCGUGGCACCACCAUCCAAAAGCCCACAUGUAUCCGGGACUACAAAACAUCCGACCAUAUGUAUCCACAUAUUCUCGGAUGGUCCACAUAACAUACACAUUGUAAUGUGUCUCACACAUCCCCACCCAUGGACACGCACUCUUUACCAGACUAAUAAAGUCUCUUAAUCACUUUUGUCUGCCAAUGGAGCACUCUUAUACUAUUUUUAUAUUAAGUACCUUAAUAUACACAUCAAUUCCUGACCAUUAAUCAUUGACUAGUUACCCCUUCGGGUCAUCAAUGAGUAGAUCUAAUUCAAUAAAAAGGAAAAAAGUUUUUUUUUUUUUUUUUUCAGAUAAGAUUACAAACCUGCUGCCAGUCCCUCCUUUUUUAUAUACAUGCCUUACCCACAGAUAAUCCUACACUUUAGCACAAUAUGCUAUGAUUUAAUAUUUCUAUAUCUCUUUAACUACACAGGGCUAACCCAUUGGGGGCACUCUGCAGGCACCAGCUCCCCUGAUCCUCGGAGGGCGUCCACUGUGCGGCUCCUUGCAACCCCCCUGGGGUCUGUUUUGGUUUCCCUCUCUCCCCCCUGGGGUUGUGGGUGGCGCUCCCUUUGGAUUUUCUAACGGCUCUGCACAUCUCUGGUCAUUACAAAACUCACUUCAUUCGUUAACGAAUCAACCAUCCCCCUGAAGAGACCACUUAGAGGUCGAAACGCGUCGGGGAACGCACAUCACACAGCAUAAAGCAAUGUUGUAUACAUUUGUCCAAUAUUGUGGAAUAUGUAUUGUAUCACCAGAUCCGGAAAGGGUUUUCUUUUAAUUGUUAUUGCAUUUAAAAUGUAUGUUAUUGACAACCAUAAAAUAAACCAUGUUUUAUUAUAUUA